AGAGUUUGAUCCUGGCUCAGAUUGAACGCUGGCGGCAUGCCUUACACAUGCAAGUCGAACGGCAGCACGGGAGCAAUCCUGGUGGCGAGUGGCGAACGGGUGAGUAAUAUAUCGGAACGUGCCCAGUCGUGGGGGAUAACGCAGCGAAAGCUGUGCUAAUACCGCAUACGAUCUACGGAUGAAAGCGGGGGAUCGCAAGACCUCGCGCGAUUGGAGCGGCCGAUAUCAGAUUAGGUUGUUGGUGGGGUAAAAGCCCACCAAGCCGACGAUCUGUAGCUGGUCUGAGAGGACGACCAGCCACACUGGAACUGAGACACGGUCCAGACUCCUACGGGAGGCAGCAGUGGGGAAUUUUGGACAAUGGGCGCAAGCCUGAUCCAGCAAUGCCGCGUGCAGGAUGAAGGCCUUCGGGUUGUAAACUGCUUUUGUACGGAACGAAACGGUCUGCUCUAAUACAGUGGGCUAAUGACGGUACCGUAAGAAUAAGCACCGGCUAACUACGUGCCAGCAGCCGCGGUAAUACGUAGGGUGCGAGCGUUAAUCGGAAUUACUGGGCGUAAAGCGUGCGCAGGCGGUUAUAUAAGACAGAUGUGAAAUCCCCGGGCUCAACCUGGGACCUGCAUUUGUGACUGUAUAGCUAGAGUGCGGCAGAGGGGGAUGGAAUUCCGCGUGUAGCAGUGAAAUGCGUAGAUAUGCGGAGGAACACCGAUGGCGAAGGCAAUCCCCUGGGCCUGCACUGACGCUCAUGCACGAAAGCGUGGGGGAGCAAACAGGAUUAGAUACCCUGGUAGUCCACGCCCUAAACGAUGUCAACUGGUUGUUGGGUCUUCACUGACUCAGUA
rnacentral:rRNA from 1 species